rnacentral:rRNA from 1 species
UACGUAGGGGGCAAGCGUUGUCCGGAAUCAUUGGGCGUAAAGCGCGUGUAGGCGGCUUGGUAAGUCUGCUCUGAAAGCCCGGGGCUCAACCCCGGGAGGCGGGUGGAUACUGUCAAGCUCGAGUCCGGAAGAGGAGUGUGGAAUUCCUGGUGUAGCGGUGAAAUGCGUAGAUAUCGGGAGGAACACCAGUGGCGAAGGCGGUUGCCUGGAGCUUUGCUGACGCUGAGGCGCGAAAGCGUGGGGAGCGAUCCGG